AGUGGCGGACGGGUGAGUAAUGUCUGGGAAACUGCCCGAUGGAGGGGGAUAACUACUGGAAACGGUAGCUAAUACCGCAUAACGUCGCAAGACCAAAGAGGGGGACCUUAGGGCCUCUUGCCAUCGGAUGUGCCCAGAUGGGAUUAGCUAGUAGGUGGGGUAACGGCUCACCUAGGCGACGAUCCCUAGCUGGUCUGAGAGGAUGACCAGCCACACUGGAACAGAGACACGGCCCAGACUCCUACGGGAGGCAGCAGUGGGGAAUAUUGCACAAUGGGGGAAACCCUGAUGCAGCAACGCCGCGUGAGUGAUGAAGGUCUUCGGAUCGUAAAGCUCUGUCUUCAGGGACGAUAAUGACGGUACCUGAGGAGGAAGCCACGGCUAACUACGUGCCAGCAGCCGCGGUAAUACGUAGGUGGCGAGCGUUGUCCGGAUUUACUGGGCGUAAAGGGAGCGUAGGCGGAUUUUUAAGUGAGAUGUGAAAUACCCGGGCUCAACUUGGGUGCUGCAUUUCAAACUGGAAGUCUAGAGUGCAGGAGAGGAGAGUGGAAUUCCUAGUGUAGCGGUGAAAUGCGUAGAGAUUAGGAAGAACACCAGUGGCGAAGGCGGCUCUCUGGACUGUAACUGACGCUGAGGCUCGAAAGCGUGGGGAGCAAACAGGAUUAGAUACCCUGGUAGUACGCCGUAAACGAUGAAUACUAGGUGUAGGGGUUGUCAUGACCUCUGUGCCGCCGCAAACGCAUUAAGUAUUCCGCCUGGGGAGUACGGUCGCAAGAUUAAAACUCAAAGGAAUUGACGGGGGCCCGCACAAGCAGCGGAGCAUGUGGUUUAAUUCGAAGCAACGCGAAGAACCUUACCUAGACUUGACAUCUCCUGAAUUACUCUUAAUCGAGGAAGUCCCUUCGGGGACAGGAAGACAGGUGGUGCAUGGUUGUCGUCAGCUCGUGUCGUGAGAUGUUGGGUUAAGUCCCGCAACGAGCGCAACCCUUAUUGUUAGUUGCUACCAUUAAGUUGAGCACUCUAGCAAGACUGCCCGGGUUAACCGGGAGGAAGGUGGGGAUGACGUCAAAUCAUCAUGCCCCUUAUGUCUAGGGCUACACACGUGCUACAAUGGCAAGUACAAAAAGAUGCAAUACCGCAAGGUGGAGCUAAACUUAAAAACUUGUCUCAGUUCGGAUUGUAGGCUGAAACUCGCCUACAUGAAGCUGGAGUUGCUAGUAAUCGCGAAUCAGAAUGUCGCGGUGAAUACGUUCCCGGGCCUUGUACACACCGCCCGUCACACCAUGAGAGUUGGCAAUACCCAAAGUUCGUGAGCUAACCCGUAAGGGAGGCAGCGACCUAAGGUAGGGUCAGCGAUUGGGGUGAAG
rnacentral:rRNA from 1 species